CAGGCGCAAGAUCACAUCCUGCGCCGAUUUGCAAGACGCCAAAACAGUCUGUCUUCGAAUUUCCAAGGCUGCUUGGGAGCAUUUCCUUUCGAGGAUCAUUUCUGAAGAUUGAAGCAAAAAAGGAGUUCUGGUUAUAAACAAGGUCGUGGUACAAAGAAAAAAAGCAGCAGACAAAAAAAGACAAAGUCCGCGCUAACAGACGGCGAGGAGGAUAAAAGCACUUGAAAUAUUUAAGAUCCUUUGAUAGCUGCCUGACCAAGUUUGGUGCACACGUCGUUAGACACUAUGGCUAUCAUGAUGACGGAUACUAUGUGCUACAUGGCAGACGUUGGAGCAGGUCUUGGACGCCACGUGGUAGACGUCAACGCAAACAUUAUGUGUACUUUGAUCAGAGAAAUAGCAAACAUUGUGUGCACUAUGGUUAAAGAGGUAGCGGUAGGAGCCAUCGUGUGCACUUUGAUAAAGGAAAUAGGAAGUAGCACGCGCUGUUUGAUGGAAAAAAUUGCAGAGCUGUUUAAGAGUCGCCCUGAGGUUGUAAAAGAAUGCAUGAAAUUGCCUAUGUCACCGAUGAUCUAUUAAGGCAAGCUUUGAAAAUGCGUGGAGUUGAUUUUCACACAAUAAUCAUUGCACGCUUUUGAGAAAACAAUAUCGCUUCGUAUCAAUCAUUUAUUCUCAAGCUUUCUUUUUAGUCAGAUUUAGCCAUACCAUGACUGAUAAGUAGUAGCUUGGACUUUUGCUCUGGGAUUGUAAUGUCUAAAAGUCACCAUUUGUCUGCUGAAGACUGGGAUAAAUGUAAUUCACUGCUUUUUCUUAUCUAAGAAAUGGGAGUACACUUUAAAAUCCAGAAAUCAUGCAUAUGACCGAAGUUAAAUAUGUGUCUUGUCACUAGCCUCAGCAGACUGAGUUAGCGGCGUAGGAGCAUUUACAGACCAAUGUAUUAUGACGUCUAUUUGCUGAUUUAAAUAAUUUGGGAAAUACUUUUUGUGUCUCUUUAGAGGAAUGUUAACUUUUAUUUACGAAACUCAUCACAUUUCAAAGCCCCUAACUUUUUAAGACCUGAACUAAUGAUAUUGUAUUUUUCUAUUAGUCUUGUUCAAGGGCUAGCCUCUUGCAAGGAUGCAGACUGCCUAUAUCUUCGUUUUGAUGUAGUUAUAAAAGCCUGAUAAAUGGUAUUGAAAAUCAAUCUGUAGGUGAAAAUAUA